GAUGAACGCUAGCUACAGGCUUAACACAUGCAAGUCGAGGGGAAACGACAUCGAAAGCUUGCUUUUGAUGGGCGUCGACCGGCGCACGGGUGAGUAACGCGUAUCCAACCUGCCCACCACUUGGGGAUAACCUUGCGAAAGUAAGACUAAUACCCAAUGAUAUCUCUAGAAGACAUCUGAAAGAGAUUAAAGAUUUAUCGGUGAUGGAUGGGGAUGCGUCUGAUUAGCUUGUUGGCGGGGUAACGGCCCACCAAGGCAACGAUCAGUAGGGGUUCUGAGAGGAAGGUCCCCCACAUUGGAACUGAGACACGGUCCAAACUCCUACGGGAGGCAGCAGUGAGGAAUAUUGGUCAAUGGACGAGAGUCUGAACCAGCCAAGUAGCGUGCAGGAAGACGGCCCUAUGGGUUGUAAACUGCUUUUAUAAGGGAAUAAAGUGAGUCUCGUGAGACUUUUUGCAUGUACCUUAUGAACAAGGACCGGCUAAUUCCGUG
rnacentral:rRNA from 1 species